UACGUAGGGGGCGAGCGUUGUCCGGAAUUAUUGAGCGUAAAGGGCUCCUAAGUUGUUCAGUAAGUCGACUGUGAAAAUCCAAGGCUCAACCUUGGGACGCCAGUCGAUACUGCUGUGACUCGAGUUCGGUAGAGGAGUGUGGAAUUUCUGGUGUAGCGGUGAAAUGCGCAGAUAUCAGGAGGAACACCAACGGCGAAGGCAGCACUCUGGGCCGAUACUGACGCUGAGGAGCGAAAGCAUGGGGAGCGAACAGG
rnacentral:misc_RNA from 1 species